UACGGAGGGUGCGAGCGUUGUCCGGAUUUAUUGGGUUUAAAGGGUGCGUAGGCUGGAGAGUCAGUCAGCGGUGAAAAGCAAGCGCUUAACGGUUGUCUUGCCGCAGAUACUUCUCUUCUUGGAUUAAGUGGAGGUUACCGGAACAGAUGGUGUAGCGGUGAAAUGCAUAGAUAUCAUCUAGAACGCCAAUUGCGGAGGCAGGUGACUGUACUUAAAUCGACGCUGAUGCACGAAAGCAUGGGGAGCGAACAGGAUUAGAUACCCGUGUAGUCC
rnacentral:rRNA from 1 species